rnacentral:rRNA from 1 species
CCUACGGGGGGCUGCAGUGGGGAAUAUUGGACAAUGGGGGCAACCCUGAUCCAGCCAUGCCGCGUGUGUGAAGAAGGCCCUCGGGGUGUAAAGCACUUUCAGUGAGGAAGAACGCCUGGUGGUUAAUACCCAGCAGGAAAGACAUCACUCACAGAAGAAGCACCGGCUAACUCCGUGCCAGCAGCCGCGGUAAUACGGAGGGUGCGAGCGUUAAUCGGAAUUACUGGGCGUAAAGCGCGCGUAGGUGGCUUGAUAAGCCGGUUGUGAAAGCCCCGGGCUCAACCUGGGAACGGCAUCCGGAACUGUCAAGCUAGAGUGCAGGAGAGGAAGGUAGAAUUCCCGGUGUAGCGGUGAAAUGCGUAGAGAUCGGGAGGAAUACCAGUGGCGAAGGCGGCCUUCUGGACUGACACUGACACUGAGGUGCGAAAGCGUGGGUAGCAAACAGGAUUAGAUACCCUAGUAGUC